UACGUAGGGACCGAGCGUUGUCCGGAUUCAUUGGGCGUAAAGAGCUCGUAGGCGGCCACUCAAGUCGAAUGUGAAACCUCGAGGCUUAACCUCGAGCCUGCAUUCGAUACUGGGCGGCUAGAGUCUGGUAGGGGGAUCUGGAAUUCCUGGUGUAGCGGUGGAAUGCGUAGAUAUCAGGAGGAACACCGGUGGCGAAGGCGGCUUCCUGGACACUUACUGACGCUGAGACGCGAAAGCGUGGGGAGCAAACAGG
rnacentral:rRNA from 1 species